UUUAAAAUCUUAAAAACUCUUACCCUAGAACAGUCUCUAGAGGCCUUAUAUUAGGGCCUCUAGAGACUGUUCUAGGGUAAGAGUUUUAAGAUGAAAAA
rnacentral:miRNA from 1 species